rnacentral:lncRNA from 1 species
CAAUCAAAAGCUUUCUUUCUGGAAGAGAGGCUUUCUGGAUUUGCAAAAUGGUUUUAAGAAUUUGCAAACUGAUAGGGUUGCUGAAACAGUGUAGGUGUGAAUUUUGACAAUGCAUUCUGUAGUAGAUAACUACUUCAUCCUCAGAUUUUUGCAUUUAUUUAAAUUGCAGUAGAGUUAUGAAUCCCCCUUAAAAUUAAUAAUACUGGUUGCUAUUUAUACUUUAUUUAUUUUAAAAAGAUUUUAUUUAUUUAUUUAGAAUCUCAAGCUGACUUCGUGCUGAAUAUGCAGCCUGAGGCAGGGCUCAGUCUCACGACCCUGAGAUCAUGACCUGAGCUGAAAUCAAGUGUCGGAUGCUUAACUGACUGAACCACCUGAUAUGUCCUGAUAUUCAUACAUUUAAAACAAGGAAUCCUACGAUGGUUAUAUAAAAUAUUUCUAGUUUUUCUUCUGGAUGCAUGGAUAAAGACCAACCAAAACCCCAGAAAACUCAUCUCUCAGGGAUGGACUUGCUCUGUAAGGCACCUGGAUCAGUGUGGCACACAGGUGGACUGUGGUGAAGGCCACAUGUGGUUCCCUCUCCAGCACAGAAACUUACUCCAUCAGCUCUCAAGAAGAUUGGCUGCUGACAGCGCACAUCUGAGUCCCUGUCUUAGAACUGUCCUUGGCCCAUGGGAACUGUCUUGUUUGAUGACCAGUCUCCUCCCCAGGACAGUAUAUGCCCAAUGACUAAGGGGCUACUUAUCUCAGUUUAGUACCACUUGAAAGGUCCAUCCAAGAUAUAGAUAUUCCUGUAGAAUUGGUUGAAGUCUAUUGUAACUACAUUGCUCUUCUAUUCUCCCUUCCACCAGUCUGCUUCCUUCACUCUCUUACAGGUAUUGUUCCAGAGAAUAUAUUCUGUAUAUAUUCUGUAUGCAAAUCUUCAUCUCAGAGUCCAUUUUCUGGAAAAUUUGAUCUGAGAUAGUAGAUAUGUCAAUGUAUUACAUAUCCAUAGAAAUAUCCCAGAUUUUACCAAGACUUGUCUUGGGUGAUGGGAUAUUGGAUAAUUCUAAGUUUCUACUUUUUACUGUUCUGCUUUUACAAAUGUU